rnacentral:rRNA from 1 species
UACGGGGGGAGCUAGCGUUGUUCGGAUUUACUGGGCGUAAAGGGCGGGUAGGCGGCCACCGCAAGUCAGUUGUGAAAUCUCCGGGCUUAACCCGGAAAGGUCAACUGAUACUGCGGGGCUAGAGUGCAGAAGGGGCAACUGGAAUUCUCGGUGUAGCGGUGAAAUGCGUAGAUAUCGAGAGGAACACCUGCGGCGAAGGCGGGUUGCUGGGCUGACACUGACGCUGAAAUGCGAAAGCUAGGGGAGCGAACGGG